AAGGCACUCGAGAGUGGUUUGGAUCCUUGAUUUGAAUUCUAGAGUACUUAAAGAUUAGAAUUGACCUUGAUAAAUAUUUGUAAUAUUUCUCAAGGUCAUUUUGUAUUUUUUUUUCUUUUUUGUUACUUUACCCUCCUCAUAGCUGUGGCAUGUGAUUAGCUACUUAUGUAUUGUGGGAAUAGGUAACAUGAUUCUCAAGGUGAUCAAAUAUAUUU
rnacentral:lncRNA from 1 species